rnacentral:rRNA from 1 species
GACGAACGCUGGCGGCGUGCCUAAUACAUGCAAGUAGAACGCACAGUUUAUACCGUAGCUUGCUACACCAUAGACUGUGAGUUGCGAACGGGUGAGUAACGCGUAGGUAACCUGCCUGGUAGCGGGGGAUAACUAUUGGAAACGAUAGCUAAUACCGCAUAAUAUUAAUUAUUGCAUGAUAAUUAAUUGAAAGGUGCAAUUGCACCACUACCAGAUGGACCUGCGUUGUAUUAGCUAGUAGGUGAGGUAACGGCGCACCUAGGCGACGAUACAUAGCCGACCUUGGAGGGGGAUCGGCCACACUGGGACUGAGACACGGCCCAGACUCCCACGGGAGGCAGCAGUAGGGAAUCUUCGGCAAUGGACGAAAGUCUGACCGGGCAACGCCGCGUGAGUGAAGAAGGUUUUCGGAUCGUAAAGCUCUGUUGUAAGAGAAGAACGGGUGUGAGAGUGGAAAGUUCACACUGUGACGGUAUCUUACCAGAAAGGGACGGCUAACUACGUG